GUCGUAACAAGGUUUCCGUAGGUGAACCUGCGGAAGGAUCAUUACCACACCAUAAAAACUUUCCACGUGAACCGUUACAAUUAUGUUCUGUGCUCUCUCUCGGGAGGGCUGAACGAAGGUAGAGCUGCAUGUAAAAGUGCGGUUUUGCCGAUGUACUUUUAAACCCAUUACACUAAUACUGAACUAUACUCCGAGAACGAAAGUUUUUGGUUUUAAUCAAUAACAACUUUCAGCAGUGGAUGUCUAGGCUC
rnacentral:misc_RNA from 1 species